rnacentral:rRNA from 1 species
AUACGGAGGGUGCAAGCGUUAUCCGGAAUCAUUGGGUUUAAAGGUUCCGUAGGCGGACUAUUAAGUCAGAGGUGAAAUCCCACAGCUCAACUGUGGAACUGCCUUUGAUACUGGUAGUCUUGAGUGAUAUGGAAGUAGAUAGAAUGUGUAGUGUAGCGGUGAAAUGCAUAGAUAUUACACAGAAUACCGAUUGCGAAGGCAGUCUACUACGUAUAUACUGACGCUAAGGGACGAAAGCGUGGGGAGCGAACAGGAUUAGAAACCCUAGUAGUCC